rnacentral:lncRNA from 15 species
AUGUACAUGUUUGUGAUGUUCACAGACUGCUCCUACCACUCUCGUCUAGAGGCUUUCCCCAUCAGACGAGUUGUAAAAGAAAGAUUGAGAAAUGGCAAAGAAGAAAUAUUGGUUAACUGGAAGCCCUGUCCAGUAUGUGGUAAGGAGUGGGCCCAUUCCUGGCAACCGAAGGAUUUUCUUCAAUGAAUUCAUAGUUUUUAGUUUUUUUGUACUUUAUAUUGUUUGCUAAUAUAAGUGACAUAUUAUUUGAUUGUUGUGUUUUUUUGUUGUUAUGAAAGAUAAAUAAAUUGUCAAAGAUGAACAUUUUUGGUUUUACUUCUCCAUGCAUCAUCUUAUUCAAAAACACAAUGUGAUAGUGUUAGUUGAUGAAAGGUAAUAGCUAAAGAAGAUGACGAAAAUAACCAUAAAUACAGCAUGAUUAGACUUUAUUUAUCUUUUAUUAUUUACUUGCAAUCACAUCGCAUUAUUUCACUUGCUUAAGUGGAUUACUUUAAUGAAUCAACAUCCGUUAUUUCUUUCACCCAGACAGUAUACCGUAUACUGUACUACAGUAUAUGUUUAUAUUUUGUAUACAUCAAAGUGGACUACAUAUUUGUGGUAGAUUAUUAUUUGUUUUAGCUUUUUAAAAAUAUAAGUAAUUUUUUUAUAUAACACAUUAUGUGAAUGUUGCUAAUGAUUAUGUCAUUGCUACAUGCAAAGGGCCACUAGUUUCAUCCACAGCAGUGGUACACUAGUAUAAAGACAGGUUUGCCAAUGUCUUUAUACAGAGAACUAAAUGUAAGUAUCAGCAUUUCUGAAAUGUGUACCUGUGUAUUGACGGAAUAUACAGUAAAUACUGCUCUACCGAGUUGUAAAUUUAGUAGCUUUUAAUCCAAUAAUAAUAAUUAUUUUCCUAAUACAUAACAGAAAUUGUCUGACUGCCCUCAGUUGCCUCAAUAAGCCCAUCUUGAUUUGUCCAUCAGUAUUUGGAGGUUAGGAUACAUUUAUAUGGUAGCAUGAUUGACUGUUCCCUGGCCUGAGAAAGGUCAGAGCACCUAUCUGCAGUGAUCUGACCUCCCCAACACAACCAAAGCAACACUGACACAAAAAGAAAAGAAGAAAGGCUUCAGGACAAGAAAGAGUUUCUCAGGCUGAAUACAACACAUGACUCCAAGCCUGGAGAAAAGGAAGGUGAACAGAAAAAUGUAGUGAUAUUGUAAAAUAUUAGGACAAAGUACACCUUUGAUUUUAAGAACGUAACCAUUGAGAUUCAGUCAUUUUUUAGCUUCAGCUGUCAUCGGGUUCAUGUUUAGAGAUAUAUCUAUAAGUGAAACUAUACACACAGGUUUUAGGACUGUGUCAUCCGGAGGAGAGGUUAAAGUUACAGUGUUCUAUGAAGUACUGUAUAUGUAUCGCCCUCCGCACAGCAUGUUAGGCCUAUGCUGACUUUUUGGAUAAAAAGGUCCUAUGAUGGUUAUUUUAUAAGAUAUGUUUGCAAAACUUAAACUGUACACAGAAAUGUAUUAGCACUACGAUAUAUUACAAAUUGGAUCAUCCAGGAUGAUCCUGUCAGACUGGGGAAGGGGUUAAAGGGUCUAUAAACCGCCAUAUUAAGUUAAUGGGAAAAUGUCAAAGGUGAAACAAUCAGUAGUUUAAGGCGAAAAUAAACUCGGAACUGGUCCACAUUGAAAAGUAUGACUGUGUAUAAUCCUAUAAUCGAUAUCUUAAAUAAAUCUGGCCACAAAAUACCCGUUAAAAGAUUUUGAGUGACUGUUUCCAGCUUGGCCCUUAAAGAGGUCUCUGAAUGUAUACGUCAAACAGCCAUGAUGUCUACCAACAAGAAAAUCAAACUUUGUCGUAGGACAACAGUGAAGACAUCGUUGGAAAGGUCUUGACCUAGGGAGCAACAUAUGUCAAUAUGAGAUUUGUGGGCGGUUCCUGCUCCUCAGGUGUGCCCUUUGAACCUUGUACCUGUGACACUUUUGAAGGCUUAUAGUUCAACAACAAAAUAUGCUACAGACAUGGGGUCAACAGUUUUGGAAAGCUCUGCACCUAUACUAUCAUACCCAGCAGCAGACCAAUAGGGGGCGCCACUGAGUAGGGUCAAAACCUAUAAAAAACAUGAUUUCACCCUCUUACCAAUAAAAGUUAGAAUCAGACCAAAUAGGCGUGGUUCCCACCCUUAAAAACAUAUAAUAAGCUUGCAAAGUUCGUGUUCACAGUUUUACAUAAUAGAGAUAAUUCAUUGGAACUACAAAAGCUAUGACGCAGCACAAUGCUGUGUACUGUAACUCGGCACAAAUUGUAGUUCUGGUAUCCUCCUUCCGGUGUAGGGUUAAGAUGUUGACAUUAGGGUUCAGAAAUCAUAUAUCCGCUCAAAUUAUUAACAGGCAAAGUAUGACCAUAAAGUUUAUAUUUAUAUUGUGAGUAGAUAUAUGUGAUGAAAAAGAUAAAUAUAUACAUUUAUUAGUGCUAUUUUUACGUAUUUCCUGCUGCUCUAUCUCACCGACAGAAAGGGGUGUGUUCAAUGGCGUAACAUAUUAAGCAACGUUUCAAAACAUAUCUUUCAGACCUCAUCCUUCGAUCUAUUUUCUCGCUAUAAAGUGUUAAUGUGGUUUAUAAUUUGUUUUAAUAUGGUGUGGCUUCCAAACAAGACCAUUUAGUUCAAUAUACCUGCAGUAGGAUGGAUUAAUAAACGAUAGCAGUCGCAGAUAACUAGCAAUAGCCUUACUAGCUAGUGAACACACCCCAAGGUUUUCAAGACGUCAGUCAACCCCAACUUGAAUAUAUAUAUAAUAUAUAUAACCCAAUAUAAUAGAGUGAACAAUACUACAUUUAUAUAUUUAUAACAUUGUAANNNNNNNNNNNNNNNNNNNNNNNNNNNNNNNNNNNNNNNNNNNNNNNNNNNNNNNNNNNNNNNNNNNNNNNNNNNNNNNNNNNNNNNNNNNNNNNNNNNNGUGU